rnacentral:lncRNA from 1 species
UCUGCUACAUCCAGCUCUGCUACAUCCAACUCUACACAUCCAGUUCUGCACCUCCAGCUCCACACCUCCAGCUCCGCGCCCUUCGUGCGUUUCCCACAGCAGAGCCGGCCGGGCAGAUGCGCCGCGAGCGGCCGGCAGGAGAUGCUGCCCGGCCAGCCGUGAGCCGCAGCCGGGCCGAAGGCAGCGGCACGUCGGCGUCCCGCGGCCCCCGGCUUUGCGCGCUCGCUGCCGGGCGCUCGCUCUGCUUCCGCCGCUCCGCUCCGCACCGCCCGUCCCCUCCCCGCCGCUCUCGGAGCGGCUCCGCGGCGCUGUGGCGUUUCUCUCCUUUUGUUUAUUCCCAGGAAGUCCCUCUUCCGCCGCCUGCGCAGCGCUCGGCCCCGAUUUAACCCGGGCAUUAACUUGGGACAGGGAAAGGAAACAGAACGGGGGGGGGUUGCAGGAAAAAAACAGAAAAAUGGUAAAAAAGCACAGGGACGGAGAGCUGUGCCCCACACAGAGCUGUGCCCCACACAGAGCUGUGCCCCACACAGAGCUGUGCCCCUACAUAGAGCUGUGCCCCACACAGAGCUGUGCCCCCACAUAGAGCUGUGCCCCAUACAGAGCUGUAUCCCAAUACAGAGCUGUACCCCAUAAAAAGCUGUGCCACAUACAGAGCUGUAUCCCAUAAAAAGCUGUGC